ensembl:miRNA MIR342 microRNA 342
GAAACUGGGCUCAAGGUGAGGGGUGCUAUCUGUGAUUGAGGGACAUGGUUAAUGGAAUUGUCUCACACAGAAAUCGCACCCGUCACCUUGGCCUACUUA